rnacentral:rRNA from 1 species
UGCGAACGCUGGCGGCAGGCCUAACACAUGCAAGUCGAACGGACCCUUCGGGGUUAGUGGCGGACGGGUGAGUAACACGUGGGAACGUGCCUUUAGGUUCGGAAUAGCUCCUGGAAACGGGUGGUAAUGCCGAAUGUGCCCUUCGGGGGAAAGAUUUAUCGCCUUUAGAGCGGCCCGCGUCUGAUUAGCUCGUUGGUGGGGUAAUGGCCCACCAAGGCUACGAUCAGUAGCUGGUCUGAGAGGAUGACCAGCCACAUUGGGACUGAGACACGGCCCAAACUCCUACGGGAGGCAGCAGUGGGGAAUCUUGCGCAAUGGGCGAAAGCCUGACGCAGCCAUGCCGCGUGUAUGAUGAAGGUCUUAGGAUUGUAAAAUACUUUCACCGGUGAAGAUAAUGACUGUAGCCGGAGAAGAAGCCCCGGCUAACUUCGUGCCAGCAGCCGCGGUAAUACGAAGGGGGCUAGCGUUGCUCGGAAUUACUGGGCGUAAAGGGAGCGUAGGCGGACAUUUAAGUCGA